rnacentral:rRNA from 1 species
UACAGAGGUCCCGAGCGUUGUUCGGAUUCAUUGGGCGUAAAGGGUGCGUAGGCGGCGGGGAAAGUCUGAUGUGAAAUCCUGGGGCUCAACCCUGGAACUGCAUUGGAUACUUCCUUGCUAGAGUACUGGAGAGGAAACUGGAAUUUACGGUGUAGCAGUGAAAUGCGUAGAGAUGCGGAGGAACACCGAUGGCGAAGGCAGCCCCCUGGGCCAAUACUGACGCUCAGGCACGAAAGCGUGGGGAGCAAACAGG